rnacentral:tRNA from 1 species
UUGAGAUAGCUCAGUCAGUAGAGCACGAGACUCUUAACCUCAGGGUUGUGGGUUCAAGCCACACAUUGGGCAAAA